CAGUAUUAGUGUCUUGCAACGGAGGCGCCUUCAUAAAAUCGCGACGACCAAAUCGCCCACCCCUCCUUUCUCUUCUGACCGCCACUCUGUCCAUCUC
rnacentral:ribozyme from 1 species